rnacentral:rRNA from 1 species
AGAGUUUGAUCAUGGCUCAGGACGAACGCUGACGGUGUGCUUUAGGCAUGCAAGUCGAACGAGAAAGCCCUUCGGGGUGAGUAAAGUGGCGGACGGGUGAGUAACGCGUGAGAAUCUGCCAAAAGGACUGGGACAACCACUGGAAACGGUGGCUAAUACCAGAUGUGCCGCAACGUAAAAGAGGAAACUCGCCUUUUGAGGAGCUCGCGUCUGAUUAGCUAGUUGGUGAGGUAAGAGCUCACCAAGGCAGCGAUCAGUAGCUGGUCUGAGAGGAUGACCAGCCACACUGGGACUGAGACACGGCCCAGACUCCUACGGGAGGCAGCAGUGGGGAAUUUUCCGCAAUGGGCGAAAGCCUGACGGAGCAAUACCGCGUGAGGGAAGAAGGCUCUUGGGUCGUAAACCUCUUUUAUCAGGGAAGAAAAAAAUGACGGUACCUGAAGAAUCAGCCUCGGCUAACUCCGUGCCAGCAGCCGCGGUAAUACGGAGGAGGCAAGCGUUAUCCGGAAUUAUUGGGCGUAAAGCGUCCGCAGGUGGCUUAUCAAGUCUGCUGUCAAAGAGUGGGGCUUAACCCCAUUAAGGCAGUGGAAACUGAGAAGCUAGAGUGCCGUAGGGGUAGAGGGAAUUCCCGGUGUAGCGGUGAAAUGCGUAGAGAUCGGGAAGAACAUCGGUGGCGAAAGCGCUCUACUGGACGGCAACUGACACUCAGGGACGAAAGCUAGGGGAGCGAAUGGGAUUAGAUACCCCCGUAGUCC